rnacentral:rRNA from 1 species
GACGAACGCUGGCGGCGUGCUUAACACAUGCAAGUCGAACGGAAAGGCCCUUCGGGGUACUCGAGUGGCGAACGGGUGAGUAACACGUGGGUGAUCUGCCCUGCACUUUGGGAUAAGCCUGGGAAACUGGGUCUAAUACCGAAUAUGAUCAUCGGCUUCAUGGUCGGUGGUGGAAAGCUUUUGCGGUGUGGGAUGGGCCCGCGGCUUAUCAGCUUGUUGGUGGGGUAAUGGCCUACCAAGGCGACGACGGGUAGCCGGCCUGAGAGGGUGACCGGCCACACUGGGACUGAGAUACGGCCCAGACUCCUACGGGAGGCAGCAGUGGGGAAUAUUGCACAAUGGGCGCAAGCCUGAUGCAGCGACGCCGCGUGAGGGAUGACGGCCUUCGGGUUGUAAACCUCUUUCAGCACAGACGAAGCGCAAGUGACGGUAUGUGCAGAAGAAGGACCGGCCAACUACGUG